CCAAACACAGCCAAACCUUCUCCAGGGAUCUAUUCCUUGAAACUUAUUGAGGAAGCUGCAUCUCUUUUACCCUUGUGAUUACCAAACCAGCCAUAUAAGCUUUGAAUUUUACGUGAGUCAACAUUGAAAAAAGAAAUAAUUUUCACCAUAAGAGUAGAAGACCACAUUUUAGUCUGCAAAAACGCCAAUAUAUGGUUGCUGACAGUCCCAAUGGACUAUGAUUAAGAUUUUUUAGACGGCCCUGGAGGAAUUGAUUAGUUAUAAGGUAUGUUAUUUUUCCGUUUAUUUUUUAGGAUUAAUUAUGAGGUGGGAAACCAUUAAAAAUGGCCUCCAUCUAAUCUUCUUUCUCUUCCCAUCAGGCAGUGUUUACAAAAACACUAUUCUAUAGAUUUUAUAUAUACAUAAAGGAUAACCACUUAAGCUCCAGUUAGAAGCACGAAUAUAGGAGCUGUACCCAUUAAAUUCUAAUAAAGGAGAAUUUGAUUAAUCCCUAUUUAGAGGUUACGAUCUGCCAUAAGAAUUUAUCAAGUGCAAUUCAUCCUUUUCCCUAUAUGUGUUACCCCUGAUGAAGUCGAUCAGACGAAACGCGUUGGGUUUGUCAGUCAGAAAAUCACACCCUAGUUUGUGAAGAUACUCCCUUUGAGCUCGCACCUUGAAAAAGGUGAGGGAGUAUCUAGAAUUCCAUCCUACAAACAUGUUGGUUGUGGCUGUGUUUUAUUGAUACAAUUUUAUAUCUUGAAUUGUG